CAAAUCAGGUAGGACUACCCGCUGAACUUAAGCAUAUCAAUAAGCGGAGGAAAAGAAACUAACAAGGAUUCCCCUAGUAACUGCGAGUGAAGCGGGAAAAGCUCAAAUUUAAAAUCUGGCGGUCUUCGGCCGUCCGAGUUGUAAUCUGGAGAAGCGUUUUCCGCGCUGGACCGUGUACAAGUCUCUUGGAACAGAGCGUCAUAGAGGGUGAGAAUCCCGUCUUUGACACGGACUACCGGUGCUAUGUGAUGCGCUCUCGAUGAGUCGAGUUGUUUGGGAAUGCAGCUCAAAAUGGGUGGUAAAUUCCAUCUAAAGCUAAAUAUUGGCGAGAGACCGAUAGCGAACAAGUACCGUGAGGGAAAGAUGAAAAGCACUUUGGAAAGAGAGUUAAACAGUACGUGAAAUUGCUGAAAGGGAAACGAUUGAAGUCAGUCGCGUGUGCUAGAACUCAGCCUUGCUUUUGCUUGGUGCAUUUUCUAGUGUACGGGCCAGCAUCAGUUUUGGCCGCCGGAAAAAGGCCUUGGGAAUGUGGCACCUUCGGGUGUGUUAUAGCCCUUGGUUGUAUACGGUGGCUGGGACUGAGGAACAUAGCAUGCCUUUACGGCGGGGCUUCGGCCACCUUCAUGCUUUGGAUGCUGGCGUAAUGGCUUUAAACGACCCGUCUUGAAACACGGACCAAGGAGUCUAACAUGCCUGCGAGUGUUUGGGUGGAAAACCCGAGCGCGUAAUGAAAGUGAAAGUUGGGACUUCUGUCGUGGAAGGCACCGACGCCCGGACCAGACCUUCUGUGACGGAUCCGCGGUAGAGCAUGUAUGUUGGGACCCGAAAGAUGGUGAACUAUGCCUGAAUAGGGUGAAGCCAGAGGAAACUCUGGUGGAGGGUCGUAGCGAUUCUGACGUGCAAAUCGAUCGUCAAAUUUGGGUAUAGGGGCGAAAGACUAAUCGAACCAUCUAGUAGCUGGUUCCUGCCGAAGUU
rnacentral:rRNA from 1 species